rnacentral:tRNA from 1 species
GGGGCUGUAGUCUAACUUGGCAGGAUUCGAGCUUCGGGUGCUCGUGGUCUGGGUUCAAAUCCCAGCAGCCCCA